GGGAAACUAGGGCUAAUACCCCAUAUGUGACGAGUUGAAAUACUUUUCAUGAAAGAUUUAUCGUCUUAAGAUGAGCCUGCGUCUGAUUAGCUAGUUGGUAGGGUAAAGGCCUACCAAGGCGACGAUCAGUAGCUGGUUUGAGAGGAUGAUCAGCCACAAUGGGACUGAGACACGGCCCAUACUCCUACGGGAGGCAGCAGUAGGGAAUUUUGCGCAAUGGGCGAAAGCCUGACGCAGCAAUACCGCGUGAGCGAUGAAGCCCCUUGGGGUGUAAAGCUCUGUCAGUAGGGACGAAUUU
rnacentral:rRNA from 1 species